rnacentral:rRNA from 1 species
AGGAGAAAGAUUUAUCGCCCUGAGACGGGCCCGCGUCGGAUUAGCUAGUUGGUGGAACGGCCUACCAAGGCGACGAUCCGUAGCUGAUCUUAGAGGAUGAUCCACACUGGGACUGAGACACGGCCCAGACUCCUACGGGAGGCAGCAGUGAAUCUUGGACAAUGGGGGCAACCCUGAUCCAGCCAUGCCGCGUGAGAGAAGGUCUUCGGAUUGUAAAGCUCUUUUGCCAGGGACGAAUGACGGUACCUGGAGAAUAAGCCCCGGCAAACUUCGUGCCAGCAGCGGUAAUACGAAGGGGGCUAGCGUUGUUCGGAAUUACUGGGCGUAAGCACGUAGGCGGGUCGUUAAGUCAGGGGUGAAAUCCCGGAGCUCAACGGCUGCCUUUGAUACUGGCGAUCUAAAGAUCGGAAGAAG